GGUAGAGUGGCCGAGUAUUUAGGUGGCAGGCUGUAGUCCUGUUUACAUGGGCUAAAUCCUGUUUCUAUCA
rnacentral:tRNA from 1 species